rnacentral:rRNA from 1 species
ACCGGCGCGCGGAGCUCCUUCGGGAAUUUCGAUGCCGCUGGGAAGAUGACCAAACUUGAAUAUUUAGAGGAAGUAAAAGUCGUAACAAGGUUGCUGUAGGUGAACCUGCAGCAGGAUCAUUA